UACGAAGGGGGCUAGCGUUGCUCGGAAUUACUGGGCGUAAAGCGCACGUAGGCGGCUUCUUAAGUCGGUGGUGAAAUCCUGGAGCUCAACUCCAGAACUGCCUUCGAUACUGGGAAGCUCGAGUCCGGGAGAGGUGAGUGGAACUGCGAGUGUAGAGGUGAAAUUCGUAGAUAUUCGCAAGAACACCAGUGGCGAAGGCGGCUCACUGGCCCGGUACUGACGCUGAGGCGCGAAAGCGUGGGGAGCAAACAGG
rnacentral:rRNA from 1 species